CCUACGGGUGGCAGCAGUGAGGAAUAUUGGUCAAUGGACGAGAGUCUGAACCAGCCAAGUAGCGUGAAGGAUGACUGCCCUACGGGUUGUAAACUUCUUUUAUAUGGGAAUAAAAUGUUCCACGUGUGGGAUUUUGUAUGUACCAUAUGAAUAAGGACCGGCUAAUUCCGUGCCAGCAGCCGCGGUAAUACGGAGGAUCCGAGCGUUAUCCGGAUUUAUUGGGUUUAAAGGGAGCGUAGGUGGAUUGUUAAGUCAGUUGUGAAAGUUUGCGGCUCAACCGUAAAAUUGCAGUUGAAACUGGCAGUCUUGAGUACAGUAGAGGUGGGCGGAAUUCGUGGUGUAGCGGUGAAAUGCUUAGAUAUGACGAAGAACUCCGAUUGCGAAGGCAGCUCACUGGACUGCAACUGACACUGAUGCUCGAAAGUGUGGGUAUCGAACAGGAUUAGAUACCCCAGUAGUC
rnacentral:rRNA from 1 species